rnacentral:rRNA from 1 species
UACGAAGGGGCUAGCGUUGUUCGGAAUCACUGGGCGUAAAGCGCACGUAGGCGGAUCUUUAAGUCAGAGGUGAAAUCCCAAGGCUCAACCUUGGAACUGCCUUUGAUACUGGGGAUCUCGAGUCCGGGAGAGGUGAGUGGAACUGCGAGUGUAGAGGUGAAAUUCGUAGAUAUUCGCAAGAACACCAGUGGCGAAGGCGGCUCACUGGCCCGGUACUGACGCUGAGGUGCGAAAGCGUGGGAGCAACAGGAU